rnacentral:lncRNA from 1 species
CUCUGUUGAAGCUUGGGGGACCUUACCACCACAUGGACAAUCUCCUGCAAUCACUUACCUUCUGCAUGUGCAUGGCACAUGUUCAAAGUUGGAGACCUUUACCCUCUGGUUAUUGGCCUGCUGGUAGAGGGAAGCCGAGCUAAUCUCUCACCUCCCUUCUAAUUCAACACUCAGAAAGGGCAGGUAGUAGAAGAGCCCUGGAGUCAUUGCUGCCUGUUGGAAGCUCAGUCAUGCUGGUCUCCACUGAAGUUGUACCUGCAAUGGUUGGUUCUCUGGGCAGCGAUCAGAUCCUGCUAAAUGAACCCUUUCCAGGAAGGAAAAGAACAUUUUCAAGUCUGUCUGCUGAUCCCUGGAUGCCCCAGGCUUUCAUACUUGUCACCAUGCUGGUUAGUCUUCCCCAGAUACACCCUGGGACCUCAUUGCCCUCUUAAGGUGGGGUCCCAAAUCCAGCCCAGUUCUUCAGCACUAGUCUAGCCAAUGUGACUAUUACCUCCUUGUUUUGAGAACUGCAUUUCUACUAAUGCAGCCUGUUUGCACUUGGAGUUUCCAGAGUCCUCAUUUCUGUGUUGCCAUUAACUGCAACGUCCAACACUCACCCUCAUGUGCUCCUGCCUAUUCAGCUCCUCCCCAUUCCUGACUGGUACAGUUGUUUCUGAGCCCAUGACUGGGACAUUAAAUCUCUCCCCAUUAAACUUUAGCUUGUUAGCCCAUUUGAUCUAUUGUUCCAGCCUGGCUCAGUUGAAUCCUGACACCAUUUUCCAAAAUAGUCAAGAUCCUUCCCAGCCUCAUGUAAGACAAGUAUUAAUUAUUCCCAUUUGGCUGUUAAGGACACUUAGCCCCAGAGAGGGGACAUGCCUAACAUCUCACAAAUUGUGCCAGGGGAGGAACGAACCAAGGGCUCUUGACCUCCACUCAGUGCCUGUUCCAGGAAGUCCUGGUGUUGUACUAGGUCCACAGCCCGGGCCUGCCAGAAGAAUUCCAUCCUGCAGGCACUAUGGCUCAGGACUGCAUCCCAGGGUCCAGCACUGACACCUUCAAUAGGAGCUGGACAAAGGGAGUGCACUAAGGCAGACUCAUACUCAAGCUUCACAGGCAAGAAGGAAGGCCGUCAUGUGCAUGGCACAUGUUCAAAGUUGGCUGGUGAUUAUAGCAGCUUAAAACAUCAUGUUCUAGAUGAGUUGCUGGGGGUUUUCUGAAGCGUGUGCCGAAAUCAGAGAUGCCAUGGGGAUGACAUCUUCCUUAUCUGUGAAGUGAUGUGAUGUGGAGUUACUCAACGAGCAAUCCCCAGAGACCACAAACCAAGAAACUGAUCCAGGAAUUCCACUCUUGUUCUUCCGCCAGAUGUGCAGGUUGAAGUGUGUUUCCACACUCCACAUGUCUUCUCUCCCAGAGACGAGGUCAGACAGCUAUUUCAAAGAUGGGUUAAAAAAAAAAAAAAAGGGAGGGCAUUGCCUACCUAAUCCACAGACUGGUCACAUGUCUGAUUUGGCAAAAUGGGUGAACAAAGUGAAAACAGGGCAAUUUCCCAGGAUCCAAUAAUUUGUGGUCAUGAAGACACCAGAAAACAUGGCAGGGGAGACAGAGAACCACGACUGGGCUGAUCCGCGUGCUCCGGGACCGCCAUCUAUGGGAAAAGCCAAGAAAGCAAAGCACAAGGAGCAACAGGUGCCUCCUAGAGAACUGAAAAUGCCUUUGAGAUGAGGUGAUGCUGGGUUGAGGAGAAGUGAGCCAAUCAGAUUUGUUGAAAGCCAGCCCUCAGUAAAGGUCAUGGCAGGACACACCUCAACAUCUCAAAUUAAGUCUCAGAUGCCAUCAGGAACUCCGGCUUGACUAGAUAGGAGUGGAAUUUAAAAUGAAAGCUUUCUAACCCGGAAACCAAAACGUGGUCUCUAAUUCUGACCCUGCCUUAUUGUAGUGGUUUUUGAACAUCCUAUGACCAAUGUGUGCCUCAGUAACCCCCGUUUUCAAGGUGACUUGUUGGGAGGGUAAGAGGCAGAAUAAAAGAGAUGAUGAAAUCCACCCUGCCAGCCUCACUGGUGUCCUAUAAAUUCAGAGACGAUAACAUCAGGACAUUCUUCUGAAUUACUUAAAGAAUGACAGAGAAUAAAUAGGAUUCUUUAUGACUGCUAUUAUGAUGAAAUUCAUAAAAUUUCCUGUGGGGGUGUUUUCUGAAAUCCUGAAACACAAUUUCAUUCUCAACUAUGUAACAGUUUUCACCUUGUCAAAAUUCUUAACAGAAAGUCCCCAGGACCCCGUCAUGGGAAAUUAAACCCCUGGAGAAGUAGAAAAGCUACUAGAAUAUGUCCUUCUGACCCCAAACCAGGAGUAGGUUAGUGCGGGAAGAUGUUUCGAGUAUGUUCAGUUGUGAACUGGGUGCAGCUGGCACCCCUUAACGGAUAAAACUGGUUCCAAGAAUGAGUCAUACUGAUUAUACCCUUGGGACAUCAUUCAUAAAUAUCAUCUGUCCCCAAAGACUUCCAAAACACAGGAGUCAUGGCAAAACACACACACAUAUAUACAUGUAAGCAAGACUUCUAACAAUCAGGCCAUUGUUCGCAGCAGAAAAACCAGGCACACCCUUUAUCUAAGAUAAAAAAGAAAAUGCAAAAAGCAAUCAAAUGAAACCUAUCUUGCUUAACCUGAAAAACAGCAGUUGGAUUAAAACAUGUCUAUGAUCCAUUUUCAGCAAGCCACUUUCCUGGGAGCAUUUCAGUGAGCAGGAAGCUUUUUGGGGACAGUCCUCCCCUAAACAAUGAAGUGCUCCUUGACACCUGUACUCAUGUCCCUUUUGUGGCUAACUUCCCAAUCAGUCCCAACCUCACUGAAGGGGCACAGCAUCUGGUUAAUUAAACCUCCUUCUUUCCUGUAAAAAUAUGUUAUCAGAAAGUAGUUUUUGUUUUGUUUUGUUUUGUUUUAUUAGGGAAUACAACUUAAGAAACAAAAGUUAAUUUCAGCAUUUCAGGCACCUACAGUCUCCUGGAGAGGGGGUGAGAUGAGGUGAAGGGGUUAUGUAUAAUCUUCUCCCUAAUUCCACAAGGGAAAACCUGGAUUCAGCACCUCACAGGAUUCCCUCCCACCUCCCGCUUCAUCCCUGCACAGAGCAGAAAGUCUCUAAAGGGCCAGCCGUACACAUGGCCAUUUGGUUCGACUGUGGCAUCUUACCCUAAACAAAACUCUCCCAAGUAUGCCUUUCUACAGAAAAUGACUGGCCUGAGAAAAGCUGGCCAGCCACAUAGUGUGAAGCCAGGUGCAGAAUAUGUUCAUCCUUGCUGAGCCUGCAGCAGUGGGGUAGAAGUUGAGAGGUUUCAGACUCUGUCCCCAACCUGUUGUCCUUGCCUUCUUGUGCACACCUCAGAGGUACACAUAAAACUCUGCCCCACGGCCCCUCCCCACUGCUCUUCCCUCUACUACAUUUCAGGAGCUAGGAACUAACAGGAGCUCUGCCUGCCUCAAAUGAAAACUUCAGCGAGGCCAUCACUCCCACACCCACACCCUGCAAUAGCACCAAUCCUAAAAGAAAUCCCCCCCACACACAACUGCCUGCUCUUUAGAGGGCAUUAGACAUAACACUUCCCACUGAACACACAUCUAAUUUGCUCACGCAGAGAUAGUCACUCCAAGUAGAAACUAUUCUAGCGUUGAUUCUGCAUGUUCAAAACACUCACGCAAAGAGAGAGGGAGACAGACAGAGAGAGACAGAGAGACAGAAGGAGGGAGACAGAGUCGGAGACAGACAGAGAAGUAGAAGAAGAGAGGGACAGAGAAAGCGAGAGAGGAAAGGAAGUUUUCAUAGACCACUAGGGCUAGAAGAGACCUCCUUUUAAUUUUUUCAAUAGUUAUAGGUCAAUUGGGGUUUUGUAUUAUUUCUGAGUCAAUUUUGGUAAUAUGCUUUAAUAGGAAAUUGUCCACUUAAAUUUUCAACUUUAUGGUAUAAGGUUAUUUAAGUUAUCCCAAUAAUUUUAAACUCUUAUGUUUAUAGUUGUCCUUUUUUUCAUGGUUUGUUCAUGCUUAAUUUUUCUGCAGAUAUCCAGUAGUCUUUAAAGAACAAGCUUUUGGCUUUCGACAAUCCUCAGUUGAAUCUUUGUUUCUGUUUCAUUAAUCCCUUCUGAUACUAUUACUUCUCCCCUCUCUCUACUUUCUUUAUCUUUACUCUUGUAUUUCCCCUAACUUCCUAAGUUGGGGAUUUAGCUCAUUGAUAUAAAUAUUUCUUUUCUUUUCUAAUUGUAAUGCCCAUUCUCAGACAGACAAUUACACAAUCACAGCAAACCUCCCUUGAAUCAGCUUCACUUAGAAGAAUACGAACAAGAAACACAGCAUGCCUUCAGGCCAGGAUCAGACACUGCUCUUCAUAGCAGUCCUCACAGUAGUUCAAGGACUAGUGUCUUGUUUUUAAAAUGAGGAAAUUGAGACCUAGAGAAAGAAACAGUUUGACAAAAAUCAACAGCAAGCUGGACCUAGACCCUAGGUCCUUUGUCUCUUUUCUCUGUUGUACUAAUUGGAAAACUAAGAUAACUGUUUAAGUAGUCGCUGUACCUCCCAUAGUGUCAUAAUAUCUUUGACUCUCUGCUUCAGUUUCUUCAUCUGUCAACUAGAAAUACCAUCCUUCCCGGCCAGGUGCAGUGGCUCACGCCUGUAAUCCCAGCACUUUGGGAGGCCGAGGCGGGAGGAUCACCUGAGGUCGGGCAUUCGAGACCAGCCUGACCAACAUGGAGAAACCCCGUCUCUACUAAAAAAAAUACAAAAUUAGCCGGUCCUGGUGGCACAUGCCUGUAAUCCCAGCUACUCGGGAGGUUGAGGCAGGAGAAUAGCUUGAACCCGGGAGGCGGAGGUUGCGGUGAGCCGAAAUUGUGCCACUGCACUCCAGCCUGGGCAACAAGGGCGAAACUCUGUCUCCAAAAAACAAAAAGAAAGAAAGAAAGAAAAAAAAAGAAAUACGAUCCUUUUCUUGUCCCUCCCAGAUCACAAUCUUUGGAAAAAAAAGAGCCGCCCAUAUUUAAGAGUUUUUGUUUGGUUGUUUGGAUGUGUUGUUAGGGAUGUGUCGGGGUAGAUGUGUGCUGAGUCGGCUGGUGGGGGAGGUGGAGGUUAUUGUGGGUAAGUAUCAUUAAAAACUGACCCUGCUCAUGAUGGAAUCUGGUUGAGGUCAAGAUAUCUUGGUUUGCAUGAUCCAUGAUCUUAGCGUUUAUCAUUUAAAAUUAGCACUAAAGUGAGUUCCCCACAUAUAAGUAACUUUUAGCUCUUAAAAUUACAUCAGUGGGUACAGCAGGUCCCCAUAGAAUUCAACAGAGGAGAGAAGUUUUGCUCA